rnacentral:rRNA from 1 species
CUACGUGCCAGCAGCCGCGGUAAUACGGAGGAUGCGAGCGUUAUCCGGAUUUAUUGGGUUUAAAGGGUGCGUAGGCUGUCGGUUAAGUCAGCGGUGAAAUCAGCACGCUUAACGUGUUGUUUGCCGUUGAAACUGUCCGUCUUGAAUGCGCUCGUCGUGGGAGGAAUGUGUGGUGUAGCGGUGAAAUGCAUAGAUAUCACACAGAACACCGAUUGCGAAGGCAUCUCACGAGAGCGUUAUUGACGCUGAUGCACGAAAGCGCGGGUAUCGAACAGGAUUAGAUACCCUGGUAGUCCGCGCUGUAAACGAUGAUGACUAACUGUUGGUUCCAAUGGGAUCAGUGGUCAAGCGAAAGCGUUAAGUCAUCCACCUGGGGAGUACGGCCGCAAGGCUGAAACUCAAAGGAAUUGACGGGGGCCCGCACAAGCGGAGGAACAUGUGGUUUAAUUCGAUGAUACGCGAGGAACCUUACCCGGGCUCGAACGGCGGAUGAAUAUGUUAGAGAGAGCAUAGU